GACUGCUUUCAAAACAUCACCUCUCAGCAGUCGCGGCUG
rnacentral:ncRNA from 1 species